UUUAUGGAGAGUUUGAUCCUGGCUCAGGAUGAACGCUGGCGGCGUGCCUAAUACAUGCAAGUCGAGCGAACAGAUAAGGAGCUUGCUCCUUUGACGUUAGCGGCGGACGGGUGAGUAACACGUGGGUAACCUACCUAUAAGACUGGAAUAACUCCGGAAACCGGGGCUAAUGCCGGAUAACAUGUUGAACCGCAUGGUUCUACAGUGAAAGACGGUCUUGCUGUCACUUAUAGAUGGACCCGCGCCGUAUUAGCUAGUUGGUGGGGUAACGGCCUACCAAGGCGACGAUACGUAGCCGACCUGAGAGGGGGCUCGCCACACUGGAACUGAGACACGGUCCAGACUCCUACGGGAGGCAGCAGUAGGGAAUCUUCCGCAAUGGGCGAAAGCCUGACGGAGCAACGCCGCGUGAGUGAUGAAGGUCUUCGGAUCGUAAAGCUCUGUUGUUAGGGAAGAACAAAUGUGUAAGUAACUGUGCACAUCUUGACGGUACCUAACCAGAAAGCCACGGCUAACUACGUGCCAGCAGCCGCGGUAAUACGUAGGUGGCAAGCGUUAUCCGGAAUUAUUGGGCGUAAAGCGCGCGUAGGCGGUUUUUUAAGUCUGAUGUGAAAGCCCACGGCUCAACCGUGGAGGGUCAUUGGAAACUGGAAAACUUGAGUGCAGAAGAGGAAAGUGGAAUUCCAUGUGUAGCGGUGAAAUGCGCAGAGAUAUGGAGGAACACCAGUGGCGAAGGCGGCUUUCUGGUCUGCAACUGACGCUGAUGUGCGAAAGCGUGGGGAUCAAACAGGAUUAGAUACCCUGGUAGUCCACGCCGUAAACGAUGAGUGCUAAGUGUUAGGGGGUUUCCGCCCCUUAGUGCUGCAGCUAACGCAUUAAGCACUCCGCCUGGGAGUACGGUCGCAAGACUGAAACUCAAAGGAAUUGACGGGGACCCGCACAAGCGGUGGAGCAUGUGGUUUAAUUCGAAGCAACGCGAAGAACCUUACCAAAUCUUGACAUCCUUUGACCGCUCUAGAGAUAGAGUUUUCCUCUUCGGAGGACAAAGUGACAGGUGGUGCAUGGUUGUCGUCAGCUCGUGUCGUGAGAUGUUGGGUUAAGUCCCGCAACGAGCGCAACCCUUGAACUUAGUUGCCAUCAUUCAGUUGGGCACUCUAAGUUGACUGCCGGUGACAAACCGGAGGAAGGUGGGGAUGACGUCAAAUCAUCAUGCCCUUAUGAUUUGGGCUACACACGUGCUACAAUGGACAAUACAAAGGGCAGCGAAACCGCGAGGUCAAGCAAAUCCCAUAAAGUUGUUCUCAGUUCGGAUUGUAGUCUGCAACUCGACUACAUGAAGCUGGAAUCGCUAGUAAUCGUAGAUCAGCAUGCUACGGUGAAUACGUUCCCGGUCUUGUACACACCGCCCGUCACACCACGAGAGUUUGUAACACCCGAAGCCGGUGGAGUAACCAUUUUGGAGCUAGCCGUCGAAGGUGGGACAAAUGAUUGGGGUGAAGUCGUAACAAGGUAGCCGUAUCGGAAGGUGCGGCUGGAUCACCUCCUUUCU
rnacentral:rRNA from 1 species